rnacentral:rRNA from 1 species
UACGAAGGGGGCUAGCGUUGCUCGGAAUCACUGGGCGUAAAGCGCACGUAGGCGGCUUGCUAAGUCAGGGGUGAAAUCCUGGAGCUCAACUCCAGAACUGCCUUUGAUACUGAAGAUCUUGAGUCCGGGAGAGGUGAGUGGAACUGCGAGUGUAGAGGUGAAAUUCGUAGAUAUUCGCAAGAACACCAGUGGCGAAGGCGGCUCACUGGCCCGGUACUGACGCUGAGGCACGAAAGCGUGGGGAGCAAACAGG